rnacentral:rRNA from 1 species
GUGCCAGCCGCCGCGGUAAUACGUAGGGACCGAGCGUUGUCCGGAAUCAUUGGGCGUAAAGAGCGUGUAGGCGGCUUGCUAAGUCUUGCGUGAAAUCUCGGGGCUCAACCCCGAGCGGUCGUGGGAAACUGGCAGGCUAGAGUGCGGGAGAGGAGAAUGGAAUUCCUGGUGUAGCGGUGAAAUGCGCAGAUAUCAGGAAGAACACCCGUGGCGAAGGCGGUUCUCUGGAACGCAACUGACGCUGAGACGCGAAAGCGUGGGGAGCAAACAGGAUUAGAAACCCCUGUAGUCC